ensembl:lncRNA
GGGAAGGGGAAAACAUCAUCAAUCUAAGGCAGCACGAGGAAUAUUUGAGAUGAAUUACUGAAGGGAAGGGGCUGCCAACCCAAUGCUGUCUGGGGUAACACCACUGUCCAGUGCAGGAGCCCUCUGGGGUGAAGAGCCGCUUUAAAGCAUCGCCGUCUCUGGAACCUGGAAAGGAAACUCUCUCAUUAUCCACUGAUAUUUAUGGCCAUCAUUUGGUGCUCUGCUCAAGGCAGACGUCUGAGAGGAGGAAGGAAGAGACAGACGCUCAGCACGGAUAAAUGCGUGCUUCCCAAAGGUGCUGUCAAGCCUGCUGAGCUCAAAGCCAGCCUGCAGCCUGGGGGUGCACCCCAGGGCUCAUACCUGCACCCCCGCCCCUCACUGACAGCAUCUGCUGGGGACACCCAUCCCUCCUUCUGCUGAGGCUAAGGGAAAGUGUUCAGGUGGCUGUGGCACAUCUGAUGGAUCCAGAGACAGCCUCGUUAAAGCAUUGAUUUGCCCAUUGGUGCGAGAUGGGGGAAGAGUAGCAAGAAGCAUCCGAAUAUAACAAGAAGAUCAUGGGAUCACUGUGUGUUUGACCGGCACUGAGCAUGCACUGCUGUCCCAAAGCUUCUCUGAAGGUCUCAGCUACAAAGCACAGGGUCAUGCAAGGACAACGUCUUCUUAUGACCUCUGGCAAAGUAGCUGAUGUCCGUGCCCUUGAUUUGACUCACAUGCAGCUGGGGGAUGAUUGUGCCUGUCUCCCAAGACAGGUGGCUGCUUUAUUAAUGAACGGUUGCAAAAUGUUCUGAGAUCCUCUGAUGAGGCAUCUCUGGAAAGAGCAAAACACGACAGUGCCAAUGGAAAUUGGCUGUUUGGCUCCAAUCGCAUGCAGAAAGAGAGCCACGCAUCAGAGCUGAGCGCGUGGAACAGGAAACAUGAGGCAGGGGGAGAAACCAGGCACGGUACCGGACGUCAGUGAACAAAUGCUGGAGCUGUUGUUUGUUGCCAAAAGAAGCCCCUUCAGACACUGACAGGCCGCUAUAGGUCUCCCUGCAGCCUUCCCUUCUCCAGCUGCACAGCCCAGCUCUCAGCCUGGCCUCGCAGGGAGGUGUUCCAUCCCUGGGCCCUUCUCUGGAUGCUCUCCAACAGGUGCACAUCUGUCCUGUACUGAGGACUCCCCAUCUGGAUGCAGUGCUGCAGGUGAGGUCUCAGAGCAGAGCAGAGGGGCAGAUCCCCCCCCCUGCCCGGCUGGCUGCACUGCUUUGGAUGUACCCAGUAUAUAGAAUCAUAGAAUCAUAGAAUUGCUCAGGUUGGAAAAGAUCUUCAAGAUCAUCAAGUCCAACCUCAACCUAACCAUACUACCCUAACUAUGGUUGGCUGUCUGGGCUGCGAGGGCACAGUGCUGUCUCAUGCCCCGCUGCCAUCCACCAGUGCUCCCAGGCUGUGCUUCAUCCCUGUGUCCCCCAGCUCAUAUUCCUCAUGGGGAUUACCAUGACCCAGGUGCAGACCUUGCACUUGCAUUUGUUGAACCUCACAAGGUUCUCCUGGGCUCACUGCUCAGCCUGUCUGGGUCUCUCUGGACGACAUCCCAUCCUUCAUAGGCAUGUCGACCACACCACACAGCUUGGUGUCAUCCACAAACUGCUGAGGGUGUUCUCAAUCCCACUGUCAGUGUCACUGAUGAAGAUAUUUAAGAGCUCUGGUCCCAGUACUGACCCUGGAGGGACGCCAUUCAUCUUCUCAGAAUGCUCUGUGUGUGUUCCUGCCUUUCUGUGGUCAUCCACACGGAUUAUCGAGAGGAGUGACAGACAUCUGCUGCCUGGAAAGCUGUGCCUGAAUAAUAACAUCCUCUGGAGUGCCAUUAUUCGAGUUGGGAAUGUUUGCGGAUGGAGCGUAUCUCUCUAGGAAAAUGCCCAUUCAUCAAAGCAGAAAUUUUCCUCCAGGGAAGUGCUGUUUUUGACAAACUUCAGCAUCGGAUAAAAAGACUGAACAACAGUAUUUCAAUGAGUUCAGAGGACUCCACUUCAGAGGCACUGGAAUUUCCUUUUGUGAUGAAGUACAGAACUGCAGUAAGACCCAAACAACCAGAUUAUAUCAGAAUGGAGUAUUUUUGUUUACCCUGACGUGAAUGGUUAAAAUAGUUUUGAAAUACACAUUUUGUUGGAUUUUUUUCCUGUGAUUUUUUUUGUUUUCUUUUCAAUUCAGACCAAGAGAAACCUGUGCUGAUGGAAUAGGAAAUCUGACUUCAAAGCAAUUCCGAGUCAGAUGGCAGAAGAAGUGCCCCAGGCACACAACUGCUGUUAACAGAGAUCUCAACUUGGAGUCCCAGGUGGCCCUCCAGACUGUCAGCUCCUGCAGGGACAGUUUCCAGCUGUCUUUUCGCUUUUGAGAAGUGUUGGUUUCCUGAUUUAUAAGAGGAAGAACAGAUUUCAAAACUUUUUUACAGGGUUGAAUCCUUUCUUUUUUUUUUUUUUUUAAGC